CUCGAUUAUCGUCCGUCCGAUGGACCCUGAUGAAGGCGUGCGACCACGGUUGUUCCGACCACUCUUCUCUCCCUCUUGCGCCCCCUUCUCCCCCGAGCACUCUCCUAAGCUCCUGAUCCAAACGCCGUCGGCAGCCCGUCCGCCGCCGGACUCCACCUACGCCGCCACCGGCGUGUCUCCCCCAACUCCGGCGCAUCUUUCCCACCUCAUAUACUCUCCCCGACGCCCCCACCCACCCGCAGCCGAUCCCCUUUCUCUCUCCCUCGAUCUCCUCCGUCCCCGCUGCGGCCAUGGAUCCCAUUGAUGCUCGUCGCCGGAUGCGAGGAGCUCGCCUUGGCUCACCGCGACUCCGCGAGCCUCUCCUAUAUUUGCUUCCUUGCGUGCUCGUGCUCGUGCCCCCUGUCUCAUCUCCGCCUUGAUUUUCCCCAGCGAUGCCUUCCUCUGUCCGACUUCCCGCUUGCUGUUUUUCUCCGUCCUGAUCUGCAGCCAGAUGUAGGCCGCACCCAGGGUCUGUAGCUGUAGGUCUACAAUCUCGAUAGCGAUGCCUGUUGACAUGGAGGAGAAUCAGGUUGCAGCGCUUAAGCAAUCCUGUGUUCCUGACCAGCACCCAUCUCCAUGCACUCGGCACAUGUGCGAUCUUCAUCUCUAGGAGGUGUUCUAGCGUUUGGGUAGCAUCAAAUUCCAGCGUGCUGGCUUGGGGUGUGUAUGCGGCAACGAGGCCAUUACCAGUGUGUUGGCAUCAUCAACUUACGGAGAAAUUUCAACCUAUGUUUGCACUAUGUACAAAUGAAACGGCAACCAGGCCGGGUCCCGUUCCUCUGUUCUUUAAACUGUAGCUAAGACAGUUGCUAAGUGUUUUUUUUUCCACACUACUAGGGGUUGCUGCAAGUGGUCGUUUGAAUAUACUUCCUCAUUUUAUCCAGUACAUUUUCUGUGAACCUUUAAUAUGCGUGAAACCUGGGAAGUGUUCUCAAUCUCUCUCUUUUUAGGUCUGGUUAUAAUUUUUGUUGAAAAGGAUCCUUUGUGCCCCCUUUUGCUUUCAUUUAUAGUGUCCAAUGCACUAGGGGACAUGUGAAUCUAACUAAGCUGCCGUAGGGUUUUUUUUUUCCUUCGGCAAAAUUGUCUUUGGACUUUCAAAUAUAUCCAAUGAUCUAGGUUUUAUCA